GACGAACCGUGCGAACGUUGUUCGGAAUCACUGGGCUUAAAGGGCGCGUAGGCGGCUUGGCAAGUCAGGGGUGAAAUCUUUCGGCCCAACCGGAAAAGUGCCUCUGAUACUGCCAAGCUCGAGGGAGGUAGGGGCAGACGGAACUUCCGGUGGAGCGGUGAAAUGCGUUGAUAUCGGAAGGAACGCCGGUGGCGAAAGCGGUCUGCUGGCCCUCCACUGACGCUGAGGCGCGAAAGCCAGGGGAG
rnacentral:rRNA from 1 species